UACAGAGAUGUAUCUUUCCUUCGGGACAGAGGAGACAGGUGGUGCAUGGUUGUCGUCAGCUCGUGUCGUGAGAUGUUGGGUUAAGUCCCGCAACGAGCGCAACCCUUGAUCUUAGUUGCCAGCAUUUCGGAUGGGCACUCUAAGGUGACUGCCGGUGACAAACCGGAGGAAGGUGGGGAUGACGUCAAAUCAUCAUGCCCCUUAUGACCUGGGCUACACACGUACUACAAUGGCCGGUACAACGGGCUGUGAAGCCGCGAGGUGGAACGAAUCCUAAAAAGCCGGUCUCAGUUCGGAUUGCAGGCUGCAACUCGCCUGCAUGAAGUCGGAAUUGCUAGUAAUCGCGGAUCAGCAUGCCGCGGUGAAUACGUUCCCGGGUCUUGUACACACCGCCCGUCACACCACGAGAGUUUAUAACACCCGAAGUCGGUGGGGUAACCGC
rnacentral:rRNA from 1 species